AUUGAACGCUGGCGGCAUGCCUUACACAUGCAAGUCGAACGGCAGCACGGGGCAACCUGGUGGCGAGUGGCGAACGGGUGAGUAAUGCAUCGGAACGUACCUUUCAGUGGGGGAUAACGUAGCGAACGUUACGCUCAUACCGCAUACUCUGUGCGCAGGAAAGCAGGGGAUCGCAAGACCUUGCGCGGAUUGAGAGGCCGAGGUAAGAUUAGCUAGUUGGUGAGGUAAAGGAUCACCAAGGCGACGAUCUGUAGCGGGUCUGAGAGGAUGAUCCGCCACACUGGAACUGCGACACGGUCCAGACUCCUACGGGAGGCAGCAGUGGGGAAUUUUGGACGAUGGGGGCAACCCUGAUCCAGCCAUGCCGCGUGAGUUACGAAGGCCUUCGGGUUGUAAAGCUCUUUCGGCCGGGAAGAAAUCGCACGGGCUAAUACCCUGUGUGGAUGACGGUACCGGAAUAAGAAGCACCGGCUAACUACGUGCCAGCCGCCGCUGUAAGAC
rnacentral:rRNA from 1 species